rnacentral:lncRNA from 1 species
UACGGUGAAAGGAACCGUAGUGAGACCGAGAUCCGAAAAGGGUCUUACACCAUGAAAUGGUGUUGUGUCAGGCCACGUGGGCCGAGUGAAUCUUGUCCUGAGGGGCAGGAGGCGUCGAGUUGCAAGAUUAAUUACUAAUGUGUGCACUUGAUGUAUGGUGCAGGUGCCCCAGCGGGGGUGCAAGCCGAAGUAUUCGGGUCCAAGCAUAAGACUACGACACAGAAGAGUAUGAAGUGGCUGAAGAUUGAAGCCACAAGCGAGAUGGUCAGUGGACCAUGAGCUGCGUUGGUCAGUGGACCGUGAGUUCUUGUGGUCAGAGGAUCACGAGAGUGUGUGUGUGAACCAGGAUAUUGAACUUGUAUUGGCCGAAAGGGAAGGCUUCACGAGUAGUGGUGGUCAGUGGGCCACGACAGGAUGUUUUCCAGUGGAACAAGAAAGGGAAAACGGCCAGUUGACAAGGCCUCAGUCGUGCAAGUCAGUGGACCUUGAGGAUCGAGCGGGUGAAUCCCCGAGUCAAACAAAUCAGUGGGCUAGAAGUGCUGGUAGAUCAGUGGGUCUCCGAGUAUAAGCGGAUUUUGGGACGCCCUAGGAACUGGGCUGGAAUCAAAACUAUCGAGCAAUAGAACCAUCGAGGAGACAGGGUUGCGCAUAAUGCUGUGCCGAGUUUCCAGUAAAAGUGGG